CACGGGCACUGAGACACGGGCCCGACUCCUACGGGAGGCAGCAGUAAGGAAUAUUGGUCAAUGGACGCAAGUCUGAACCAGCCAUGCCGCGUGGAGGAUGAAGGCCCUCUGGGUUGUAAACUUCUUUUAUAGGGGACGAAAAAGGGUCUUUCUAGAUCAACUGACGGUACCCUAGGAAUAAGCACCGGCUAACUCCGUGCCAGCAGCCGCGGUAAUACGGAGGGUGCAAGCGUUAUCCGGAUUCACUGGGUUUAAAGGGUGCGUAGGUGGGUUAGUAAGUCAGUGGUGAAAUCUUCGAGCUUAACUCGGAAACUGCCAUUGAUACUAUUAGUCUUGAAUAUUGUGGAGGUUAGCGGAAUAUGUCAUGUAGCGGUGAAAUGCUUAGAUAUGACAUAGAACACCAAUUGCGAAGGCAGCUGGCUACACAUAUAUUGACACUGAGGCACGAAAGCGUGGGGAUCAAACAGGAUUAGAUAC
rnacentral:rRNA from 1 species